rnacentral:sRNA from 1 species
AGUGGGCCAGGAGCUUUAUUUAGCUGUCCCGAAAUCCCACAGACCUGGACAGGACUCCUGAGUUGGUGUCCUUGCUGCUCAAGAGGACAAAAGCUCGUGAGCAGGAUCUUCCCUCUGGGAAGACAGCCA